AUCUAAUACAGUUUGACUAUAAAUUACUGGAAAAUUAAGGUGACCUCACCGUACAGUAGCAUGGAGAAAACACACUUAUUCUAGUUUAUUACAGACAGUGGAUAAACCCUCUACUUUGUCUUGAGUGCCCAGUUGCACAUAAAUUCAGCUUACCUGCCUUCUGACACUCUCUCCUCUUCCAGUGAAAUCUCACUCAGCACAGGCAUCUCACAUUUACAGAAUUUUUCUUGAAUCUCUCAAGAAAAACUGAAAGCUCUUUAAAACAUAUGCCUAAGAAUUGUUUCAUAGUCAACAACAGAUCACGCAUUAGGAGUGUCUGUGUGCAGUUUCAGCCAUCCACAGACACUGUUGUCAGCAAACUUAAUAUCCAAAGAGAAACUACUUGAUUUUGUUAUUUCCCAGCAAACUAAGAAAACAAGCAAGCACAAUGGCAUCAAAAGAUGAGGCAAAGAAAGCCUCCCACCUAGUAUUUUACUUCUGAUUGGAUUAGCAUGGCCACAGGGAUUGAGGUAGUUGUAUAUCUGCAUUGGGGGCUUUUUGUCAGAAAGCAUUAAUUGCAUCAUCACAAACUAUAUUAUAUAUUUUAAAUGUGUGUACAUAUCACAAGGGACCCCUUUUGAUCCCAAUAGCAGCACUAAGAGACGAGAUGCAGUAUACAAUUAGAUGAGAAUUUUAAAGGAUGAGAGCAAAGAUAGGAUUUGAUUUGUUUUAGUUUUCUCCAGAAACACUAAUAUACUUAGUUGUUCAAUUUAUUUAUCAAUGACUCGGUGAAGGAGCAGAUGCCUCCUCAGCAAGCUCACUGGUGACACAAAGCUGGGAGGAGUGGCUGGUACCCCGGAGGGCUGUGCAGCCCUUGAGAAGGCCCUCGACAGGCUGGAGAGAUGGGCAGGGAAGAACUGUCUGAAAUCCAGCCAGGGCAAAUGCAGGGUCCUGCACCUGGGAAGAACAGCCCCAGGCACCAGCACAGGCUGGGGCUGGCUGCUGGAGACGCCCCUGGCUUGAGCAGGGAUCUUGCACUGAAUGACCAACUGUGGGUCCUCCCAACCUGACCCAUCACAUCAGGAUGACAUGGAGACGGGAGACUUUCUCUGUGCUGGUGCUUCCCAUGGCUAUAAAUGGGAAAACUGAGGAUCUACAUUCUACCUCCAAUACCAGACUACUCUAUGACCUACAGCCCAAGCAAGUGCAAACCUGUGAAUCCAAACAUUUCCUGAUUUGGUCACACAGAGCUCAACAUCCCUCUCCAGCACAAAACAGCCUAUCACCACUCAAAAAAAAAUUUGUCAGUAAUUCUAGUGUUCUCUAGUAAGUACAUAUUUAAUGGUAUAGUGGUGUAAGACUUGUAAAAAUAUUAUUCAAAGAGGUAAUACAAAAGUGGUUUUAGUGGGAUUUUAAGAACAUUCAUAAGCAUGUAUAAACCGGUAGAUUUAAAAACCUACAUUGAGAAUGGCCACACUGGAUUCACACAUAACAAGGGGAAUACUGAGAUACUGCAUCGGGUCUGACUUCCAGGAGAAAGUGACGUCUAAUAUACAAAUAAAAAAGAAAAUCUGCAUCAGCCCAGAGAAGUUUAACUGCACAAUGACCGAAACACACACUGGUUCACGAUAUUUAUUACAAUCUAUUGCUUUAGAUAAACCUGCUGUAUGGUUAGUAAACCCAAAGCACAUUGUAUGAACCAACAAAAAAAAAGUACAGCACAAACCACAUCUCUGUAAAAGGUAUGCAGUGGAGAUGACAAGAGGCACAACUUUAGUUGUAAGUAAGAGCACAAUGAAGAUCCUGGUAACAGAUAAUGAAGGCAAAUAAAAGUUAUACUACCGGUACCAAACAUAAGUAAAAAUCUGAAUAGCAUUGUUAUAUCUGUAUACAAAGAAUGCAGGGUCUUUUCAAAUACCCUCUCCUCAUUCUCUAUGACCUGUAAACACAACUCUCCCAAACCAUCUUCCCUCCAUACCUGAACUAGGAUAUAAAGAUCUAUACAGAUUGUGCAAAUCUAGUGUAAGUAUUUUUAGUCUCUCUUCUUCAAACAGAAGAAAUACAAGUUUAAAAACAUUAACACCACAGACUCCCUCUAUCUAGCCUCUGCAGAAAGUAUUUAGUAGCAAUACUGCCCAAGACAUCCAAACAAAACACUGGACUAAGAAAUCCAGAAGAUUGCAUGAACAAUAAAUACAAACACAUAUGAACAAGGGAAAAACAGUUAUCAAGGGAAACUGGCAAAUAAAAGUGAAUUGGGACCCUUUUUCAGCCUACAGCAGAUCUGUUCCUAAAAAAACCACUCACAUGAUUUAAGUAAACCUAUGAUGUUAACAGAGGUUCAACUACACUUUAGGCAGACAAGAUUUAUUCAGCAGCUUGGUCUUUAAGGUGUGAUAUCUGGUGGUUACAUGUCAUGCUCCACACCACUUAAUAAAGACUUAUUUAUAAGUACUGCUAGACCAGGAUGCUGGGAGUCAAACAGCCACUCUGUUGAGUUAUUUGCUACUGCUGCCUUUUCAUUACCACGCUGCAGACUCUUUCUGCAACAAACAUUUUGUCCCUCACACCAAUCUGCUACUGAUUUAUGUUUCUGAAAAAAUAAGUUAGACAAAAAUAUUACAGUCCAGAGUAAAUAUGGUACAAUUUAGUUCUUGCGUUAAGAUUUCUGGCCCAACAGUAAUUUAAGAACAGUACCAGCCUGAACAGAAUGCAGUUCUAGAGCAUUUAAAAUACACAGAUGUUGAAACAGUCUGGAUUUUACUUCAGUGUUGGAAAGUGAACCAGAGACUAAAGAAUUUAUAUACAGAAGUCUCAAGCAUAGUCCAGAAGCUCAAGCAGUUACUAGAGUUCACUCCUUCCAGAAAUUGCUCUACAGGGUGUUCUUUGCUUUUUCCUUUGAGUGCAGAUGUGAACUUCUUCAGUCUCUGAGUUUCCACUCACACUAAGAGUGAAUAUAGUGCAAACAACACACAAGUUAAUUCAAUUUAUAGCUCUCAAACUAAAAACAAAAAAAAAAAAGAAAAAAAAAAAAAGAAAAAAAAAAAAAAAAAGAAAAAAAGAAAAAAAAAAAAAAAAAAAAAAAAAGGAAAAAAA
rnacentral:lncRNA from 1 species